UUUUUUUCCGGAAAUUAUUCUCCUGGUCCAUGUUAAAGGAUCACAUAAAACAUUCUAUAUAAUGUCAGGAAAAAAGGAAGGAGAUAUACCUUAUGUUAAAUAAUACAAUAUUUCUGUUAAAUUAGUAUGAAAUAAACCCCUAGAUAUACUAGUAUUGCUCAUAUAUAUUUAUCAUCACAGUUACAUGUAUUUCUGUAUUUUUUCAAAAAACCUAGUAAAUAGGCAGGAAAUAGCUACUUGCAAGAGAGACUAUAGAUGUGUUUUAUCUCUACUCUGAAAUUCACCAAAGCAUAUUCAACAGACUGAACUGACAGUCUGACUAUUAUGCAUAAUACAAAUUCCACUGUUUAUUUGCUUAUUUCCUCCGAUACAGGAAGAAAACAAAAGUAUCCCAACAAACUGCAUGCAUAUAUUCUACACCCUCAUAACAAUUCUGUAAUUUUGAACAAGUACUUUCAUCCUGUGGUCUUGCCUAAAGCAAAUAGAGAAUAGUACAGAGAAUAUCAAGAGUGGUAAAGUACAGAUGUAUGAUAGAGGUACUAAUUAUUUUUUUCUUUAAAACCCCAGUAUUAUAAAAUCUUACCUCUUCAGCUGGUUACAAAGCAAAAGUAUGAUGCUAUUGCAUAAGCAACCCCUUUGUCCGACUCCAAAUUAAAACUUUCUAGACUGCUGCUGAGCUGUGUGAAAUGUGAGCUCACCUGCUUACGUAGUGGUGUGGAUUUUGACAACUUCAUGAAGGUCAGAUGUGGUUUAAAAGCUCUUUCUUCUCCUGCCAAGAUGCCCUUUUCUUGAAAUAUCUUCUUCAUAUUGUACCUGCUAUUUCUCUAAGUAUAGCUGUGUGAUCAUUUUCUGCCAACUUCACAAAUCCAACUUCAUUUUUGAAGUGAUCAAUUCCUUGAAAAGACAAAUCCACGGUUUUUCCUUUCAGGAGAUCUUCUACAAAAUCCUUGCUGUCUGAAAGAGCACCAACUGCUCUGUUCUUCUUUGUUGGAUAGAUGCAUCACAAACAUGGUGACAUGCAAUGAGCCAGAGUGAACCAUUGCUUUGGAAAACCUUUGAUCCUUUUGUAUUACUGCAUCUUGGACAGCCUGAAUACUCCUAAAUUUCACCUCUGGAUUAGUAAUUGGAAGAGAAAUGAAAUAAUUUGGCUGAUACUGUUUUUUCUUUUUCUUCUUUCUCUCACUGUCUUC
rnacentral:lncRNA from 1 species